GUGCAGCAGUUGCGAAAACUUGUCAAUGCACGAAAGUGUGAACGGGCUACCCCGAGUGCCGUCCGCUGAGGAUGGCUUUUCUCUGCUGUAAGAAGGCAGAGGAAUAAGGAGAGGGCAAGUCUGGUGUCAGCCGCCGCGGUAAUACCAGCUCUCCGAGUGGUAGGGAUGAUUAUUGGGCUUAAAGCGUCCGUAGCUGGCCUUUCAAGUCUCUUGUUAAAUCCAGCGAUUCAAUCGUUGGACUGCGGGAGAUACUGUUAGGCUAGGGGGCGGGAGAAGCCGACGGUAUUUCCGGGGUAGGGGCGAAAUCCUAUAAUCCCUGGAGGACCACCAGUGGCGAAGGCGGUCGACCAAAACGCGCCCGACGGUGAGGGACGAAAGCUGGGGGAGCGAACGGGAUUAGAUACCCCGGUAGUCC
rnacentral:rRNA from 1 species